UGAGUAACACGUAUCCAACCUGCCGUCUACUCUUGGACAGCCUUCUGAAAGGAAGAUUAAUACAAGAUGGCAUCAUGAGUCCACAUGUUCACAUGAUUAAAGGUAUUCCGGUAGACGAUGGGGAUGCGUUCCAUUAGAUAGUAGGCGGGGUAACGGCCCACCUAGUCUUCGAUGGAUAGGGGUUCUGAGAGGAAGGUCCCCCACAUUGGACUGAGACACGGUCCAA
rnacentral:rRNA from 1 species